rnacentral:lncRNA from 1 species
CUUGUCUAAAUAGUACAUGAUUACCUCAGUUAGUUUUGUGGCUGUGGUAAUGUUCGUUUUAUGAGCUCAAUCUGGUUCUGAGCCAUCUGAACUUCAAAUUCCAGAUGCCUUAUCCCUACUGCUAACAUCUAAUAUACUGUGUACACAUGUGUACAAUGCAGGCUGUAUUGGAAAUACUCGGUUGUGCUCUCAAAGUCACACUGUGCUCUUCUUAAAACCAUAUUUGCAAGCCUUGAAGGAAAAGCACAAAAGAACUACCUUUUCAAUGAAUAUUGGUGGUUCUGAACUAUGGAGAGUGGGAAAAGACGAAGAAGGUCUGCGCUGGAAGAUGCCAGUGGGAUUUAGGUGACUAGAUGAUCCUUCCAUUUGUCAUCUGGCAAAGAUCCUAAGGUCAACCCUUACUUCUUAUAAAAUGAUAAGGUGUCUGUAAUGGCAAGGAAAGGUCUCAGAUUUAUUCCUCAACCAGAAAGAUAUGUCUCUUGUGGCACAUAAUGUGCAGGCACAAUCUAGAAGAUUGAUUCAACCGUCAGCCAUGAACUGAAUCAUCAGGAUCAUUAUAAUCUCUUCAAUUUUUUUGCAGUUCUCUAACAGAACUCUUUAUUAUUGUUGUUAUUAUUAGUAGUAUACUUAUUAUUACUACGAUUACUUCAUAAUAGAACCAAGGUUUUAAUAAGUUUGCUUAACUUCACAUUUCCAAUCUAAGCCACAGGCAGAGCAGAUCUAGAAACAGAAACAUUGGGUUCUAAGGCAUUGGAUCUCUAAAUGCAGUCCUCUGUUUUAGCGUAAAAUGAAUGUUUUCCUAAUCUUUCUUGAAUGAAAUCCUUCAUAUAGAGAAUAUGUAAUCUCAUUAGUAGUGUGUUUAGAUACAUUUGAAUCACAUCUUCUGUGUUGCACACUCACUGUGAUAAGAGUUUAGCUCUAAGAACUUAGAACAAUGUAUGUACUUCUCAUUACAUUCCAUGUCAACUGUGAGCAUACAAUUAAAGACUUGACCAUUCAUCAUUCUGAUCAGAGCUAGAUAGAUAACAGCUGAAGCUGUGACGUUGCAUCUGUUCUUACUUUGUAGAUCUGCAUCAAUGCUAGAACUCAAAUAGUGUUGCAAUGGGACAGACAAAUGUACCUGUUUUUCUGGCUUUUUUUUUUUUUUUUAAUCAGAUAAACUAGAAUGACUUGAAACUGGAAAGCUUAGAAGAUGGAUUUAUAAAAUCUGCUUUAAUAAACUCAGAAAUUAUAGGGGUUCUUCUGUUUGU